UGCGAUAAGUAUGUGAAUUGCAGAAUUCAGUGAAUCAUCGAAUCUUUGAACGCACCUUGCGCUCCUUGGUAUUCCGAGGAGCAUGCCUGUUUGAGUGUCAUUAAUAUAUCAACCUUCUCUUUUUUGAGUUGUUUGGAUGUGGGGGUUUGCUGGCCUCUUAAAUGAUUCAGCUCCCCUGAAAUGCAUUAGCAGAACAACCUGUUCAUUGGCGUGAUAAUUAUCUAUGCUAUUGAAUGUGAGGGCAGUUCAGCUUUCUAACCGUCCUCGGACAAUUCAUCAUUAAUGUGACCUCAAAUCAGGUAGGACUACCCGCUGAACUUAAGCAUAUCAAUAAAGCGGAGGAAGGNAGNANUNCGNG
rnacentral:rRNA from 1 species